AGGAAGUCCACACUUGCUGGGGGUGCUCCGACGGGGACCCUCCGAUGCUAAAGUUAGCCGGAGCUUUGGGAAUGGAAAAGAGAAAAGAGAGUAAGAGAGAGAGACGAGAGAGUUCUCCUUCCUCCUCCCUUUCGGACCUGCCCUUCUCUCGAGUGCUCAUGUUUGCUUACCUUAGGAUCCCCUUCCCUUCGUAUGUCUUUUGUAUGGAGGUUGAGCCUCUUUUGUAUGGAGGUUGGGUCUGCUAGUCAGUCGGAAUUUGUGAGUUGGUUAGGCCUAGCUCUUCAGGCUGUUAAAUCAUGUUCAGGUUUUUUCUCGAGGAACGAAUAUCUCCCACUUCGCAGGCUUUACCCACGCGGCUGGCCGAAUUGGUGGUCUUGGAUCCACACCUGAUGUGACCUCACCAUGUCAUGUUGAGCGCGCCUCAAUGGAAGACCGCUCGAUCGGCGGGUCUCUCCCGCAACGCACACAGGAUACUUAUCUUAGAAGAUGAAAAGGUUGGGAACAAACAAGUAGAGCACUAUUUCUUAGACGAAUCAUUGCAGCGGCGGUUCUGUAGACGAGCAGACCAUCCAAGCUGCCAAGCAAUGGUUACCAAAAAGAAGGAAAAAACACUGAAGGGUCUGAAUAGCUUUCAUCAUC
rnacentral:lncRNA from 1 species